UAACAUCCUCUCUGAGCCUCUCAGGUUCCACAUCUAUACAACAACUGGGUGAUCUAGAAGACUCUUAUCCGCUCAGAUUUCUAAUUACAUGAUGUGGCUUCGAGAAACAAGAAAGACAGCACGGAAAGGCCGACAGACUAAUGAAAACAACAACAGAGAAGGAAGAGGCAGGAGGAAACUUCCAGAAGUGAUGCCAACGUUCAGUACCUUGAUGGCGCGAACGGUUUCACAGGUGUGUACACGUGUCCAAACGCAUCCAACUGCAUACAUUGAAAAUGUGCUGUUUCUUGGUAUAUCAAUUAUUUCAAUCCAACUGCUAAUCACUAAAAUAAAAACUGCCCUUGGCGGGGUCCUGCGUGGCACAGCUGGUUCAGUGUCCAGCUCUUGAUUUCAGCUCAGAUCAUGAUCUCAGGGUCAUGAGAUUGAGCUCUGUAUCGGGCUCCAUUCUUAGAGUGUAGCCUGCUUAAAAUCCUCUCCCUUGCCUUCUGCCCUUCCCUUGGCUUGUGCACUCACUCUUUCCCUUAAAAAAAAAAGAAAG
rnacentral:lncRNA from 1 species